UUUCUCUUACAAACAUCACAUCCAACCAUAAAAAAAACCAACUUUCUUCCCAAACACAAAAAUUUUAGCUUCCUAAAAUAGCCUACUAAAAUAGCAACUUCCCAAACACCCACUUUGUUGGCAAGCUAUUCUAGGUAAAGUAGCCUCUUAGGAAAUUUUUAGCUAACAGGGGUAUUCCUAAAUGAGUUUUAAGCGCUUUGUCCAAUGUGUUUGAGAUUUGUCAAAUCUGUAUACCAUCUCUUCAUUCAUUGUCAGUUUGCUUGGGAACGCUGGUCCUGUUGUUUAAACUGGUGCGGGUGGUGUUUGUUUGGUCUGCCUUGCCUCUCUCUGUGAUAUUUUUAUGUGGUGGUUUGAUUCUCCUUUUCAGAACCUUGAGAAACAACUUUGGGUGACCCUCUUCUACAUGGUUAUCUGGUUAGCUCAAAAUGCUACUGUCUUUAACCACUCAGAACAGCAUGUUCAUGACGUGAUUCACCUAGUAAACUUGUGUUUCGCUCUUUGGGCAAAAGCUUGUUUUGUUAUUGUCAAUUACCCAAUGUCUGGGUAUUAUCAGCUACCUUGACGGGAUCAGGAAACUUAAACUGAAGCUUCUUUCAAAGUCGCCUUGACAGACAUUGAAGUGAUAAGAUGGUUAAGGGUUGCUGUUUUGCUGGCGAGGGAGGUCUUUCUUUCAUGAAGAAUAUUUUUAUUGCUAUGGGAAGCCUUAAGUUAUAACUUAUAAGGUUGUGUUGUUGCUUCUUAAGGCUGAGGGUUGUUCUUGACACUACAAGAAAAAGUACUUUGCACGGUGUUUAUAAUAUAGCGUUUUUUGAAACGUCUUUGUUGAUUAGUCAAGCACAACGUUUUGUAAAUGUUGUCUUACAUCUAGGUCAGACAACGUCAUUUAGCUAUGUAGUGAUCACGCCGGUUCAUAUUAAAACCUUCUCGCCGUUUGAGACCUUUCAAAACCAUCUCACUCCAAACUCUCUCAAACUCAGAUCCCUUUUCCAAACUCUCUUCAAACUCAAUCACUCUCUUUCUCUCUCUUCACUUCAGAUUCAUCAAAUAGUACAACCACCAUGUUCAGAAACUCUCAGUUUCCUCGAUAUUGAGUUUGAACAGAAGAUAUUGUGAAGGCUCUUGAGGUUGAAAGUCCUCAGUCACUCUCGGUUGAAUGAUCUACGUUUCUCUCUCUCUCUCUCUCUCUCAGAUCCAUGAAGGUUGUCGAUGAUUUGAAGGUUGAUUCUUGCAGAUUUGAAGGUUGACUGUCCAGAUUUGUGAUUCUCUCUUCCAAUUUUGUGAGUAUUUAAUUCGUUUAUUUAUCUCUCUUUUUUUUUUUUUUUAGAUUGUAUACAUUCGAGAACAUAGAUCUGAGAUCAGCCCCUGUCAAAGCUGUCUUUCAAUCAAUUGAUCGAUCGAUUGUUUUCGUUCAGAUCUAUUUCGAUUAAUCAUUUGAUUGAUUUUUGUGAGUCUCGCUCUCUUUUUUCUAAUAAAUAUCUGUUUCUCUCUUCGAGAUUUAGAUCUGUUCUACUUGCAUUUCGGCACUACACUUUGGCAUAAAGGUAAUAAGCUUCAUUCUCUCUCUCCUGAAACUUGCUCUCUAUGUUCCAUGCAUAUCCAGACUUAGGCUUUUUUUAGUAUUGAUGUUUUUGAUAGUGUAUGUUAAAGUUUUUGAUUUUUUUUUUUUCAAAUUUUUGGUUUGGUUGUGAAUGUGCCACUAAUUGUUAUAUUGAUCCAUGAUUCUUUAUGUAGUAACUGUUGCUGCAAUUUUUAUGAAGUGAAUUCAUUGAAGAUAUUUUUUGAUUUUUUUAAUGUUGAUCGUUGGAAACAGUGUAUAGAAGCCCAAUGAUGAAGAGAUGUAGAUCUGCCCUCUCUUCGAUCAGAUCUGCUUUCUCUCUCUGAUCUGCUAAUAUGCUUGAGAUCCUCUGUAAUUUGGCGAUGGGAGAAGAAAAAAAUGUUGUAAGAAUCUUAUCAAGUUACUCUAUUGGUUAUUAAUAUCAUAGCAAAAAAGAACAAGAGGCUAAUUUCUUUGUUGUUUAUUCUCUCUGCAGCAGUGUGACUGCUAGGUUAAUAACCAAACUUGUGGUUGGACUUGGCCUUGGGGAGGUAAUAGUGAUUGCAGUGUGAAUGAUUUCUUUCCUUUUUUUUUCUUUUUCUUUUUUAAAUUCAACUAUAGUGGCCUCAAGUUGCUUGGGCAUUAAUCUUUGUUAAGGGAUACCUUUAAUGUUUGGGAUUUCUUAUUUUAUAAGUAGAGAGAUUAUCAACUUGUUGAGACAAAGCGUUAUAUGUUAAAAGGACUAAUAAAUGCGAAUGUUUGAUUAACUGAUGUUUGGGAUUUCUUAUUGCA